rnacentral:rRNA from 1 species
GAUGAACGCUGGCGGCGUGCCUAAUACAUGCAAGUCGAGCGAACAGACGAGGAGCUUGCUCCUCUGACGUUAGCGGCGGACGGGUGAGUAACACGUGGAUAACCGACCUAGAAGACUGGGAUAACGUCGGGAAACCGGAGCUAAUACCGGAUAAUAUGUUGAACCGCAUGGUUCAAUAGUGAAAGACGGUUUUGCUGUCACUUAUAGAUGGAUCCGCGCCGCAUUAGCUAGUUGGUAAGGUAACGGCUUACCAAGGCAACGAUGCGUAGCCGACCUGAGAGGGUGAUCGGCCACACUGGAACUGAGACACGGUCCAGACUCCUACGGGAGGCAGCAGUAGGGAAUCUUCCGCAAUGGGCGAAAGCCUGACGGAGCAACGCCGCGUGAGUGAUGAAGGUCUUCGGAUCGUAAAGCUCUGUUAUUAGGGAAGAACAAAUGUGUAAGUAACUAUGGACGUCUUGACGGUACCUAAUCAGAAAGCCACGGCUAACUACGUG